GUGGACCUAUUCCUCCUCUGGACUCACCUUCGCAUACAAGCUAAACACCAAUGAAGACAGCGUUGCACGCUGGUCUUCCAGAGAUCCUAAUCCAGAUAUCCUACAGAAGUCUGUAAACGUAUCCAUAGAAAACGCCAACAAAAGCUCUACAGAGACCUUUAGUCAAGUUGCGUGUAACAAGCUCCCGCCAAAGGUAACGUGGCAACGGAAGUCGCCGAAUGGUUACUUUCUCCACGGAAAAUGGCAUUCAUUACUGUGUACUGACACACUGCCUCGCACCAUGGAUGCUUACAGACAAUGCUUGAAAGGCAGGACGCUCUGGCUUCCAGGGGAUUCAACAAGCAACCAGUUCAAAACUCGUCUCCACGCCUUCUUGAAGUUCAAGUCACAUUCAUAUGGACACUUACCAACUACCGACACAGAUUCAGAAUAUAACUUUUCUAUUUCUUUCCACGCUCACGAAUUACCUUUCUAUCAUGGUAAAUCGAACUAUUCACGAUCAUCAAACCAAGCAGAGCACAUCGUGCUUGACCAUCUCCCGAACACUACCAAGGACAUCGUUGUGCUAUAUCUGUACGUUCAUUUCACGCUUGUCCACCCGGAUGUGUUCAGGCAACAUGUUCGAAGACUUGUUCCUUCUGUAAAGAACCUUUUGGCGAGAGCUCCUAAUGUUAAACUUGCAAUACGCGGGCCACAUGCAUUUUUCAGAUCGAGAAAGCGUUUGCUAUCUUACUGGGGACUUCUGUAUGCUGAUAUCUGGCAUGAAGAAUUCGCUUCAUUUCAAGACAACAUUGUGUAUCUGGAUUUUUGGGAUUUCUCCAUACCAAUCGGACAUCACGACUUUCACCUACCUGGGAAAAAGGUGGAUCAAAUGGUUCACCAUAUGAUGUCUUUGUUGUGUGACAGAAAGUAACACUAACUAAAGGUUUAGCGUAAAA